GGUUCGAGUAUGAAUGAAGUUUUGAUAAUUUUUUUUAUUAAUUUUAUAAUGAAUUUUUUUUGUAAAUAAAAAAUUUUGUUUUUAUUUUUGCAAAGAUAAGUCUUCGUAAAUUCUUUUUAAUUUUUUUUUUUUAAAAAAAAAUUAAAGUUUUCUAGGGUAGAAUUUUUUGUAUGUAUAUUUUUCUAUUAUUAGUUUAGAGAAUUACUUCGGAGUUAACAGAAAUUCAUAUUUUAUCUAGUUCUUAUAGUAAAGUAAGUUUUACAUCGGUGUUGUAUUUAUAUUGUUUGGGAGGUAGAAUGUUCAAUAUUUAAGACUGUUCUUCUUUUUAGUAUAACGUGAUAUUAGUUUAAUUCAUCGUGAGAUAGAAUUGUUUAUCUUGAAAAAUAAUUUUUUUUUUUAGGUUUUUAGUACGAAAGGAAAAAUAGUUGAAGUUAAAAACUUUAUGAUGUACGG
rnacentral:rRNA from 1 species